GGGGCCAACCUGAUCUAUAGAGUUAGUUUCAGGACAGUCAAGGCUACACAGUGAAACCCCAUCUCAAACCAAACCAAAGCAAAACAAAAGCUAUAGUUUACUGUCAUUGUGAAGAUAAUUCACAAUCUUUUUAAAUAAGGUAUUUAGGCCCAUUCCUCUGAAAUAUUUCUAAGUCUUUAUUACAUAUAAAAGACUGAAUAUAAGAUUUUAGGUUUUAAAAAGUAGUUGCAUGCUAGGGUGAUGGCACACACUUUUAAUUCAAGUCCUCAGGAAGCAGAGGCAGGUGGAUCUCUGCAUUUAACGUCUGUCAGCCUGGUCUACAUAGUAAGGGCCCUGGUCAGCCAGGGUCACAUAGUAAGUCUUUGUCUCAACAAAAAAAAAAUCUAUCCCAUUGCUUUUUGGAUUGCAUUGUUUCUGACCACAAGUCUUUAAUUUUUGUUCCUCUCCGAUAAUGAAUCUGUUUAAUUUUGGCUGCUUUUAAGAUUUUAGUUUUACCACUGAAUUUGUGCAAUUGAAUUAUUUGUGUUGGUAUAGUUGUUUUCAUAUUAUUUGUGUGGUUUGUUAAUUUUUAAGACCAGUUACACUAUGUAAUCAAGGCUGACCUCCAGCCCCUGAUCCCCCUCCAUCUGUCAGCAUCACAAGCAUGCGCUGUUUUGUCUGCAAACAAACAAGCUUUCUGUGUCUCCUCUUUAAGUAUUUACUGUGUUGUUUCUUCAUUUGACACAUGUUCCUGUUUUACAUGCCUGGUGAUUUUUUAUUGACUCUGAAUGUGUAGUGUUGGGAGUGGGGUGUUGUGGUAUACAUGUAUUCUUUUUUGUAAUCUUGAGCUUUAUUUUGAAAUGCAGUUUCUUUGAAAAAGCAUUGCAAGGAUUGCUUUUAAGCUUGGUAGAUGUGCUAAAGCAGCAUUUUUUUAUGCACUGCACUUGGUCAUCUGUGAGAAAAGAGGUUUUCCUUCAUUGGUAGUAUGGUUCCAGCCCUGUGUGGACUUCAGCAUUUUUUCUACUUGCUUCUUUAGGAGGUUCAUUGUGGUUGGGCUUUCAUGUGCUUGUGCUACCAUUAUUCAGCUACUACUGGGCUACCUAGUACCCUUCUGCAUGUCUCUGGAGCUCUCCUCUCUGAGCAAAUGCAUUCUCUCUGGUGCUAGUUCCUUCAGGGGCUUACCUUUCCUCAUAGCAAAAUUGCUUUGUUUGGCUUUCCUUUCUACAUUGCAACCCAGAGGCUACUCAUAGGCAGUCUUGGGGGCUCUCCUUGUUUAACUGUUGGCCUGUGCUGCCCUUGUCCAAAACCUAACAUCUGCUAUUAAACUUUUUCCAUUAUUUUUAGUUUUAAGGAGAGACAUAUUUUCCUUACCUUAGUAAAUGUACAGAGCUGAUUCAGUUGCUCAGGUAAAGGCUCAAUGUCUGAAUCUAAUUCUGCCUUGUGGUUUGAAUGAGAUGUCAAGCUUAGUCUUGGGUAUUUGAAUAUUCCUCCUCAAUUGGUGGUGCUGUUUGGAGAGGCAGAGGAGGUGUGGCCUACGUAGAGGAAGUAUGUCACUGGAGACCAGCUUUGAGAAUGGAGACUCUCAACAUUUUUAUUUUAUACUAUCUGCUUGUGAUUCAAGAUGUGAGCUCUCAGCUUUUGCUCCAGUUAGCCUGCCUGCUGCCUCUGCACCACCAUCAUGGACUCUUUAACUCUCUGGAGCUGUAAGUCCAAACAAACUUCCUUUGUAGGUUGCCUUGGUGUCUGUUUUACUGAAGUUUUAGAAAAGUUAACUAAUACAUGGUUUUCACUGCUACUAGCUAAGCCUCCUUUAGGCUUACCCGGGCUGUUCUGCUGUUGGGUUUCCGUUAUAGCUGAAGAGUUGAUUUUCCAUAGCUGCAUGAAUGAACUUAAAAUAUGGAGAUUCUCAUGCCAUCCAUAUGAAACUUGUAGGAGUUUCCCGUGGUCCCCUCCAAAGCCCUCCUGUGGCAGUGCUGCAUCCCUUCCCAGUUGUACCUCCUCUACCUUACCUUCCUUCUCGUCCCUCCACACCAUCUCCUUUCCCAAGUUUCCUUUCCUAGGCAUAUCCAAGUGUUUCUUCUGCCUUGGAAUACAUAUUUUUAGCUCUCAGCUUUCAGUUAGGGCUCUCUCUCAUGAUUCUAGUUAAUUAUCAGUUUUAUCACUCACUGACUUCCUUCAUGUUUCAGAAUCUUUUGUCUACUUGUGUUUCCUUCCCAUUAGACCGUGAGCUCCCUAAAAACAGAGCAGUACUGGAUUCCCUAACAGAUGCUUAGGAAACAUGCACUGGAGGAAGAAUAGUCCUCCUGUUUCUCACUCCCGUGCAGCAAUCUGUUUCAUCAAUCUCCGUGUAAUAUCUAGUGACUUAUACUUUGAUUCCCCCAAAGGGCUAAGAUUUUGGUAAUAUUACAUUAUUACCAAGAAAUAAAACCAAGAUGUAAAAAUAGAAUUAAAUCACUCAUAUAAUUGUAGCAGUAACUACCAAAGAAUAAGAAAUUUACCUAUUGAUUUGUGUUUUAAAUCUGUUUUAUUGGGAAAAAAAAUCACCUUUCCUAAAACUGCUAUGGAUGUAUACUCUAUAAACCUCCUAGACAUGUUUAGUUAUGGUCACAACUAUAAACUCUGAAAAGCUAAAUAACCAUAUGCUUGCCUAACUGGAAUAUGGUUUUCUUCACUUUUUAGCAAGAGAAAUUCUAAAUAACAAGAUGUCACAAAUGUGUCAGUUUAUGGGUUCAAGCUUUUUUUCCCGCUGGUGAACAAACCAUGCAAGGUGAAUCAACCUUAAAUUAACCAAACUGAAAGUUUUGAAAAAUUUUAGAUCUACAUAUUCUUAAUAGGCCAGAUGGGUCUUAUUCUCAAACAUAGUGAUUUGGGAAUUCAUCAAUACAUACAGGGACUAGUCUAGUAAUUUAUGUAAUCUUCUGUUUCUUGCAGUCACUGGUGCCUAUUCUGAGCGAUGAAGUUUGAACACAGACUUGCAGUGGUAACCUUUCACACACAGCUCCAAUAAGGUGGUACUCAGGCUAACUAGUGGUUGUUCUAAGGACAAAGUCACAGCUGUUUGUCAGUCAUGCCAGCAUUGCCUGUGAUUUUAUUUGCACGUGGCACCCUCCAGGGCCCUGGAGUGAUGGGAGCUCUUUUGACUGGAGAGCUGUUUUCAGGUAUGCCCCCUGCAUGCUCCUUGCAUUUGUCAGUGGCCUCUGGCUCUUUCCCUUUGUGAUCUUCUGCUUUACCUAAUGUCAUCUUCUCUUCAGGUUCCUGCUUGAGCUUCUUUGCUGAGAUCUGGACAUUUUCUACUGUGGUUGGCUUCUUUCCUUUCUCCUUUUCAGACAACGCCCUACUAGCAGGGUUGCUAGUCUUUCUGGAUGGAAGAGAUGUUUCAUCAACUUUAUUGCUCUUUUUCUCUGGAGACCUUGUUCUGUUUUUUCCAAGUUGAUUCUGCUUCAGAUCUUUCCUGAUGACACCCGACUUUUCUUUCCCAUCUGGGAGCUGUUCAGUACUGUCACUAGUAUAGCCUGCUGCUCUUUGGCUCCCAACCUCUGAUAAUUUGCUUUCAGUGUUUGACGGGCCAGUGUCUGCAAUCUUUUGCUGCUUCUUGGGACUAGAAGAGCGUCCUCUGCCUUUUCUGCAGGGCUCUUGUCCAGAGCCUGCCUUAGCGGUGAUCUGACCUUUAGUCUCUCCUUUCCUAGGGCUGAGUGACCGAUCUCUAGAUUUUCCUUUGUGGUCACUUUUUAGGGGCCUGGGAAUCUUUUCCAAAUGUUCCUCUGAAUGUCGAUUAGCUGACUUUUUGGGACUAGCAGAUCCAUCUCUUCGUGUGACACCAUUUUCUCCUUUUAGUAGAGUCUUCUCACCAUGCCUUUGACCACUGGGUGGAUCCUUCUUAAUCACAUUUUUCUGGAGAACAGUCUGAUGCCUCAUUUCAGGCUGACUUCCAUUAAAAGUGCUUUUCUUUUCUGGUACAGUGUCCUUUAGUUCUUCUGCCUUUUCACAUAUCUGAACUCUAAUCAGAGAGUCUUCGGUUACUGGCACGUGAGACUCUUCAAAUGUGGAAGCAGAAUGUGAAGAUGGGAGAAGUGGUGGCUGUUCAUCAUAAAUGACAUUGGAAGAUGAAGGACUAGUAAUAUCCCAAUCACCUAAAAAGUGAUUGAGUAGAAUACAGUUACAUUCAAGGAUUAUCAAUAGGAACAGUUGAGUUUUGAACUUUGACAGCCAUUUGAAUAUGUUACUGGUUGCAUAGCCCAAGGAGGAAUAUGUUACGUAACUUAUUCUUAUUUAUGUCUGUCUGUAAAGGCAGAUGCUUAUAGAUAUCUGCUCAUGUAUGAAGGGUAGAUUGUUAUAAUAAUUGUUUUACUUAUGCACUGUAAGAGGUGAUAUAUGAUCUGUAAAUUAUUCAUAAAACCAAGUAAGAUACAAAUAAUAAAAUUGGACCAAAGUACUUGGUCCAAGAAACUUA